GUGAACAGGCACAGGCAACCCUCGGGGAGGAAGAGAGGCCAAAUGGGGAAAGAUCCAAGCCAUUCUAGCCCCUUGGCUGAGGCCACAGGCACAGGAGGGAGGCCAGCCUAGACCAUCCCCCCCUUAGCCACAGCAGAGCACACCUGAAGCCCAGCUACCCUGAAGAAUCAUGGGAAAUACGCAGAAGCCUCGAACUCUGUGCCUUGCUUCCUCCUCAGCGCCAGUGCUGCCUCCUAGCCAGGCAUUUCCAAGUGAGCAUCAACACUGGAUAAUGGCUUCUGGCUCUGCCUCCUGCAUCUCCUCCACCUGCCCUCAAGUCCAGGACCUCCUUACUGAUUUUCUAGAACUAUCACCUGAUACCACAGGCUCCCUCUCUAGAUCCGGAGGAUGGUCCAAUAACAUGUAACGUCUGGCUUCCCUGGUGCCCCCACCACCCUUCGUUCAGGAUACGCCUGUGAGCGUUCUUCAGCCUAAUUGAAUAAUGGAACCACACUGAUCCUUUCUUCCGAGGUCCAGGGGCACUGUUUCCUCUCCACUCCAGUUCAGCUUGGGAAUGUUGACUUUGGAAAACAGCACCGAAAGCACUCUGGCUGCAAUUUCCAAAUCAGAAACAGCCUCCGAAUCCUUACUUAGCAGAGAGUAAGACACCCUGGAAGGAAGAGCGGUCUGUUUAGGCUUUGAGGGCCUAGAACCUCUUCUCUGCGCGGAGCCUCCAGGGAGGAUGUGAGGUCAUCACAUCCAGCUCACAUCCACAAAUGGGAACCUUCUGUGUGU